UUAAUAUUGUCUUGUCUGUAC
rnacentral:piRNA from 1 species